GUGAGGAAUUUUCCGCAAUGGGCGAAAGCCUGACGGAGCAAUGCCGCGUGAAGGAUGAAGGCCUAUGGGUUGUAAACUUCUUUUCUCAGAAAAGAAUUAUGACGGUAUCUGAGGAAUAAGCAUCGGCUAACUCUGUGCCAGCAGCCGCGGUAAGACAGAGGAUGCAAGCGUUAUCCGGAAUGAUUGGUCGUAAAGCGUCUGUAGGUUGUUUAAAAAGUAUUCUGUCAAAGAUUAGGGCUUAACCCUAGAUAGGCAGAAUAAACUUUUAAGCUAGAGUUUGGUAGAGGCAGAGGGAAUUACCGGUGGAGCGGUGAAAAGCGUAGAUAUCGGGAGGAACACCAAAGGCGAAGGCACUCUGCUGGGCCAAUACUAACACUGAGAGACGAAAGCGAGGGGAGCAAAUGGGAUUAGAAACCCCAGUAGUCC
rnacentral:rRNA from 1 species